GAUGAACGCUGGCGGCGUGCUUAACACAUGCAAGUCGAACGAAGCAUAAGAUUUGAUUUUUUCGGAAUGAAGAUUUUAUGACUGAGUGGCGGACGGGUGAGUAACGCGUGGGUAACCUGCCUCAUACAGGGGGAUAACAGCUGGAAACGGCUGCUAAAACCGCAUAAGCGCACAAGGGCCGCAUGGCCUGGUGUGAAAAACUCCGGUGGUAUGAGAUGGACCCGCGUCUGAUUAGCUAGUUGGCAGGGCAAAGGCCUACCAAGGCAACGAUCAGUAGCCGACCUGAGAGGGUGACCGGCCACAUUGGGACUGAGACACGGCCCAAACUCCUACGGGAGGCAGCAGUGGGGAAUAUUGCACAAUGGGGGAAACCCUGAUGCAGCGACGCCGCGUGAGUGAAGAAGUAUUUCGGUAUGUAAAGCUCUAUCAGCAGGGAAGAUAAUGACGGUACCUGACUAAGAAGCACCGGCUAAAUACGUGCCAGCAGCCGCGGUAA
rnacentral:rRNA from 1 species